ACAUGCAGUCGAACGGCAGCAUGAUCUAGCUUGCUAGAUUGAUGGCGAGUGGCGAACGGGUGAGUAAUACAUCGGAACGUGCCCUGUAGUGGGGGAUAACUAGUCGAAAGAUUAGCUAAUACCGCAUACGACCUGAGGGUGAAAGUGGGGGACCGCAAGGCCUCAUGCUAUAGGAGCGGCCGAUGUCUGAUUAGCUAGUUGGUGAGGUAAAGGCUCACCAAGGCGACGAUCAGUAGCUGGUCUGAGAGGACAAUCAACCAUACUGGGACUGAGACCCGCCCCACACUCCUACGGGAGGNAGCGGUGUGUUUUUUUGGAGAGUGGGCGAAAGCCUGCUCCAGCCAUGCCGUGUGUGUGAAGAAGGCCUUCGGGUUGUAAAUUUUUUUUGUCCGAAAAAGAAAUGGCUCUGGUUAAUACCUGGGGUCGAUGACGGUACCGAAAGAAUAAGGACCGCCUAACUACGUGCCAGCGGCCGCGGUAAUACGUAGGGCCCAAGCGUUAAUCGAAUUACUGGGCGUAAAGCGUGCGCGGGGGGGUUUGUGCAAGACCGAU
rnacentral:rRNA from 1 species